GAUGAACGCUGGCGGCGUGCUUAACACAUGCAAGUCGAACGAAGCACUUUAUUUGAUUUCCUUCGGGACUGAUUAUUUUGUGACUGAGUGGCGGACGGGUGAGUAACGCGUGGGUAACCUGCCUUGUACAGGGGGAUAACAGUUGGAAACGGCUGCUAAUACCGCAUAAGCGCACAGCAUCGCAUGAUGCAGUGUGAAAAACUCCGGUGGUAUAAGAUGGACCCGCGUUGGAUUAGCUAGUUGGUGAGGUAACGGCCCACCAAGGCGACGAUCCAUAGCCGAGCUGAGAGGAUGACCAGCCACAUUGGGACUGAGACACGGCCCAGACUCCUACGGGAGGCAGCAGUGGGGAAUAUUGCACAAUGGGCGAAAGCCUGAUGCAGCGACGCCGCGUGAGCGAUGAAGGAAUUCGGUAUGUAAAGCUCUAUCAGCAGGGAAGAUAAUGACGGUACCGGACGAAGAAGCACCGGCUAAAUACGUG
rnacentral:rRNA from 1 species